UACGUAGGGUGCAAGCGUUGUCCGGAAUUAUUGGGCGUAAAGAGCUCGUAGGCGGUCUGUCGCGUCUGCUGUGAAAACUCGGGGCUUAACCCCGGGCCUGCAGUGGGUACGGGCAGACUAGAGUGCGGUAGGGGAGACUGGAAUUCCUGGUGUAGCGGUGAAAUGCGCAGAUAUCAGGAGGAACACCGGUGGCGAAGGCGGGUCUCUGGGCCGUAACUGACGCUGAGGAGCGAAAGCAUGGGGGAGCGAACAGG
rnacentral:rRNA from 1 species